CCUACGGGUGGCUGCAGUGAGGAAUAUUGGUCAAUGGGCGCGAGCCUGAACCAGCCAAGUAGCGUGAAGGAUGACUGCCCUACGGGUUGUAAACUUCUUUUAUAAAGGAAUAAAGUGAGGCACGUGUGCCUUUUUGUAUGUACUUUCUGAAUAAGGAUCGGCUAACUCCGUGCCAGCAGCCGAGGUAAAUCGGAGGAUCCGAGCGUUAGCCGGCUUUCUUGGGUUUAAAGGGCGCGUAGAUGGGUUGUUAAGUCAGUUGUGAAAGUUUGCGGCUCAACCGUAAAAUUGCAAUUGAUACUGGCAGUCUUGAGUACAGUUAAGGGAGGCGGAAUUCGUGGUGUAGCGGUGAAAUGCUUAGAUAUCACGAAGAACUCCGACUGCGAAGGCAGCUUACUAAACUGCCACUGACAUUGAUGCUCGAAAGUGUGGGUAUCAAACAGGAUUAGAUACCCGUGUAGUC
rnacentral:rRNA from 1 species